rnacentral:ncRNA from 1 species
CAACUCCUAAACUAUUGGGCAAUACAUUAGUAAUAAUGUAAUUGAAUCUUCCUUAACUGCUGGAAAAUCCUAUAUGGACAAUCAGCAUCCAAGCAUUGUUAUAAAUAACAAUGAAGGUUCAACGACUAUCGAAACCACUCUAACAGAUCGUUGUGAUAACGCUAGUUAGAAGGAAGGGAGUAGAGUACAACCUAAGUGAUUGAGGUUGGAAAAGGGAAGCAUCUCAAUGAGAUGAAGAUAUAGUCUCAUCUUCAUGGUAACAUGAAG